rnacentral:tRNA from 1 species
GGGGAUUUAGCUCAGUAGCACUGCACCUGCUUCACAAGCACAAGGUCCCAAGUUCAAUUCCUGGUACUCCCA